GGCUGACGUUUUCUCGAGAUCGAAAAAAUUAGAAAAUUUAAAAUGGAAAAUAACGAGGGAUAUUUUGAAAGGGAUUUGGAGCUCGAAUCUCUUCUCUCUCUCCAAAUCUUCCCAAAUCCCUAGCCCUCAAUCUCUCUGCUCUUCUCGUCUUCUAGGGUUUCGUUGAUAUCCCCCUGUCAAUGCCGGCGACGGCCACGACGACAGCGAUGGUGACGACGACGGCGGUGGUGGGGCAAGGCCUCCACCCGGCCGAGUGCGGCGGCGACGGCUGCGACUCCCGGAACCCCUGGCCGCUCCACAACGUCCGCUAUCGCGGCGUCUUCUGCCGCCUCUGCACCUCCUGCGUCCUCAGAUACCACCAUGGAUCCUUCUGCUCCACCUGCUUUGACAUCCUUGACGGCGCCGCCGCCACCGCCGGUGGCGGAGGCCCCUCGCCGGCAGACCGCCCCGUCGUCCAAUGUUCCAAGUGCCCCUCCGUCUCUCACCUCGCCUGCCUCCCCGCCCCCGAGCUCGCUGCCCAGUUUGUCUGCCCUAGCUGCAAGAACCCCGAUGACUUCUCCUACUUCCCUGUCUCCAUGCGAGAAGAGACUGCCAGUGAAGGCGAGAAGCCAUCAGAUGGAAGUCUGAAGAUUGACUCUUCCAACGCGAAGGUGCUUCUUGCCGCUGCGCAGCUGGCGGCAGCUUCGAUGAGCAGAGCGGCGGCGGCCGCGAGGGUUGAGGCCGAGCGGAAGGUUAAGGAGGCCGCGAUGGCAAGGAAGAGGGCGAGGGAGAUGCUUGAGACAGCUUGUGUAGUUUCCAAGAAAGAAAAGGAAAAGCAAGCCAAGGUGGAGCAAGAGACAGCAUUGGUAUCCAAGCCAGAGGAGGUGGAGCCAAAGAAGAAAAUACUGCAGCCGAGCGGGACUGUUGCUGCUGUCCUGGCAGCACAGAAGAGGAUCCAGAAUAGGGAGAGGGAGAAGCUGAAGAAGUUCCAUGAUCCACUCAUUAUGGGGCAGAGGCCAGCGCAGGGAAUUGCAGAGAACGAUAAGUCUCAUGGGACUUCAAUGUCUGGCCCGAAGGAUGUCUCGGGGAACGUGAAGAACGAAGGCGGCACUGAUCAGGAAAAGAGAAAUUUAAUAAAGAAUGCUGGUAAUGGUACCAGGGGAGCUCAAUAGAUUCGAGGUGAAGAUUCAUCAAUCUCCAGAACUAAAACAGGAACUUUUACUGGUCUGUGAAAGACAGCUAAUCAGUGUUCAGUAGUUGCUUUUUGGCCACAUGCCUGGAGCUUGGCCAUGCAAGGCUGGAUGCUGAAGUCUGAGCCAUCCUCGUUGCUGCAUCGCUUCCCCUCACGUGUCACGGCCUUCAUGUAAUUGUUGAUCAAAAGCUCCUUUUCCCUUUUUUUUUUUUGUUGUAGUCUCAAUGUCAGAGGACCCGAUAUGGUGUGUGGUGUUGAGGUAUGAUUUUUUCCCCUCUUUCUUAAUCUUUUUCAUCUUUUUUGUGAUUUGUAAUCUUAGACUCAGAUUUCCAGUAACAAUAAAAAUGAGGCGGCAAUUGGGGAAAGCAGUUUUUCCUAUUUUGUCAAAGGUGAUUUAUGCAUACUCAAAAGUGAACAGCACAAUGGUUCUUAUCGGUACGGUUAUGAUGCAUUUAUGGGGGAUCAAAAAUAUGUAGUUUGUAAAGAGCCGUCUGCUCCAAAGUUUGAUAUUUUAUAUGUUUAUUGUUAAGAUAGUUGGGAUUGGAUUACUGAGAAGAGCCAGUAAUUACCGUCUGCUAGGAGGAAGGAAGACUCAGACGCAAAUGUUGACAUGCACACAUCAUGGGAAGGCAGCUAGUUUUAAAAUAACAGCUGUCCAUGGUUGGGGAUCCUCUUUGUUCUGUCAUGUAUAUGAACACAAGGGGAAGAAAAGAUAAUGGAUGUUAUAAAGGAUUAUGUCGUAUUAGAGUGAUUGUUUAACAAAAAUAUUGACUUUAUUUUUAUAAUUUGUAUUGCUUCUUAAAACAGGACAAUAUCUCUUUUCAAAUUUCAAAUUUUUGUACUAAUUUUUCGUGCAAGAGAGAUUGUACAGCCAGAAAAUGAUAAUUCUUUGUUGAAUAAUUAUUUGGAAAAUAAUAUCAUUAUUUCCUAUUAUAACAG